AGGUCGAGCGGUAACGGGUCCAGCUUGCUGGAUGCCGACGAGCGGCGGACGGGUGAGUAAUGCAUAGGAAUCUGCCCGGUAGUGGGGGAUAACCUGGGGAAACCCAGGCUAAUACCGCAUACGUCCUACGGGAGAAAGCAGGGGAUCUUCGGACCUUGCGCUAUCGGAUGAGCCUAUGUCGGAUUAGCUGGUUGGUGAGGUAACGGCUCACCAAGGCGACGAUCCGUAGCUGGUCUGAGAGGAUGAUCAGCCACACUGGGACUGAGACACGGCCCAGACUCCUACGGGAGGCAGCAGUGGGGAAUAUUGGACAAUGGGCGCAAGCCUGAUCCAGCCAUGCCGCGUGUGUGAAGAAGGCUUUCGGGUUGUAAAGCACUUUCAGCGGGGAAGAAAGCGUGCCGGUUAAUACCCGGCACGGACGACAUCACCCGCAGAAGAAGCACCGGCUAACUCCGUGCCAGCAGCCGCGGUAA
rnacentral:rRNA from 1 species